rnacentral:rRNA from 1 species
UACGUAGGGUGCGAGCGUUAAUCGGAAUUACUGGGCGUAAAGCGUGCGCAGGCGGGCUUUUAAGCCAGACGUGAAAUCCCCGGGCUUAACCUGGGAAUGGCGUUUGGGACUGGGAGUCUGGAGUGCGGCAGAGGAGACUGGAAUUCCUGGUGUAGCAGUGAAAUGCGUAGAUAUCAGGAGGAACACCGGUGGCGAAGGCGGGUCUCUGGGCCGAUAUUGACGCUGAGGAGCGAAAGCGUGGGGAGCAAACAGG